rnacentral:rRNA from 1 species
AUUGAACGCUGGCGGCAGGCCUAACACAUGCAAGUCGAGCGGAUGAAGGGAGCUUGCUCCUGGAUUCAGCGGCGGACGGGUGAGUAAUGCCUAGGAAUCUGCCUGGUAGUGGGGGAUAACGUCCGGAAACGGGCGCUAAUACCGCAUACGUCCUGAGGGAGAAAGUGGGGGAUCUUCGGACCUCACGCUAUCCGAUGAGCCUAGGUCGGAUUAGCUAGUUGGGGGGGUAAAGGCCUACCACGGCGACGAUCCGUAACUGGUCUGAGAGGAUGAUCAGUCACACUGGAACUGGGACACGGUCCAGACUCCUACGGGAGGCAGAGGUGGGGAAUAUUGGACAAGGGGCGAAAGCCUGCUCCAGCCAGGCCGCGGGUGUGAAGAAGGUCUUCGGAUGGUAAAGCACUUUAAGUUGGGAGGAAGGGCAGUAAGUUAAUACCUUGCUGUUUUGACGUUACCAACAGAAUAAGCACCGGCUAACUUCGUG